rnacentral:lncRNA from 1 species
GUGCCACAAUAGAAAGUUUUGUGUACUUAUUACAACUAGGCCACAUGAGUUUGUUAGCUUCUUCCAAUAGUCCAAAGAAAUUUUUUGUACGUUGAUUUGGGACUUGUUCCUCAUGAGCACAAACAUUUGGAUUGAUGUAGUUAUUGUACGUUUCAGGUGCCAUCAUGCUUGUAAAGGCCUCUAAAUGAGUGUGGUGGGUCUCCGCGAUCCUUUCGAUGACCGAGGAGGUCAAUCAUUACCUACUAGGCAAGGCAUCUCAGAGCCUAUCCCAUCAUGAGGUCUAUCACCAUUGUUUCAUGGCUAUCUUUUCUUGCAGCUUGUGCUGUUGAGGAUUCAGCCAAAUCUAGACCAUUGAAAUUGAAUGGUUCUCUAUGUGUUUGCAAGCUGUAUAGUCCCUUGUAAAUCCAUUUUUGUAAUGAUGAAAUUUCACAUCAACUUCUUUUAGAAACCUUGUGUUCUUACAAAUAGAACAUGGACGUUUGAUCAUAUCUCCAACUCUUGUUUGAGACAUGGCAAAUUCAAUGAACUCUUUAACACAUUGAAUGAAUCUGCCUGAAAGAAAUCCUUCAUCUGAUCAAUUCAACAUCCAACUACGAUUCGAUGCUAUAAUGUGUAACAACAAUUCAUAGACUUUAAUUGCUUAUCCUUCAUAAAUUAUUGGGCGGUUCAAAUGUUAAACUUGCAAAAUGAAUCCAAUUAAUUCCCCUUUUUGAAAAUAAACGAUUGGAAUCAAUAUUAAAAUAAUCACUUAGACAAUUGAACAAAUAGCUUAGCAACAUGGAAGGAGUUCUCCAUCGCAAAUAUUUCUUGAAAGCCCAAAACAAAAAUAUCUACUACUUACUCAAGUUCAU